GGAAACCGGAGCUAAUACCGGAUAAUAUUUUGAACCGCAUGGUUCAAAAGUGAAAGACGGUCUUGCUGUCACUUAUAGAUUGAUCCGCGCUGCAUUAGCUAGUUGGUAAGGUAACGGCUUACCAAGGCAACGAUGCAUAGCCGACCUGAGAGGGUGAUCGGCCACACUGGAACUGAGACACGGUCCAG
rnacentral:rRNA from 1 species